GAAAUGCGAUAAUUAAUGUGAAUUGCAGAAUUCAGUGAAUCAUCGAGUCUUUGAACGCACAUUGCGCCCCCUGGUAUUCCGGGGGGCAUGCCUGUCCGAGCGUCAUUGCUGCCCUCAAGCACGGCUUGUGUGUUGGGCUUCCGUCCCUGGCAACGGGGACGGGCCCAAAAGGCAGUGGCGGCACCAUGUCUGGUCCUCGAGCGUAUGGGGCUUUGUCACCCGCUCCCGUAGGUCCAGCUGGCAGCUAGCCUCGCAACCAAUCUUUUUAACCAGGUUGACCUCGGAUCAGUUAGUGAUACCCGCUGAACUUAAGC
rnacentral:misc_RNA from 1 species